rnacentral:lncRNA from 1 species
CUAUUUUCUGUUUUUAAUAAUUUUUAUGGUGUUGUAAAAUGUUUAAAUUUACUAAAAGUGUUGGUUACCUCAUUGUGAUUUCCUGCUGACUGUAGCUGGAAAAAGAACAUAUUAACAGAAAACCAGAAUAUAAUCUAGUCAGUUUCAUGUACCUGAAUCAGAUAUAGACUGAUGCUAUAUGUUUUUAACAUUAAUAUAAGUAUAAGUAUAACAAUUGAAUAGAUUGUAACAUAAAUUAUAAUCGAAGACUAUCAGUAUAAGAUAUGGAUCAAAUACAAUUUAAAAAAAGGUUACAAUAAAAUAACAACACAAAAAGACGAAACAUAUGAAAAGCAUGUAAACAACCAUAUCAUACCAAUAGAAUGCAAUAUAAAAGCUUUUAAACCAAAAAUUCAAAGUGAUGCGGUUGAAAUCUUCCCUAAACCAUGCGAUACUUUUUCGCGUCCAUAGUGUUACCGAAUUCGUAAAUGUUCUUACAUGAAAUAACCAUCUACAUGAAAUUUUCGUUGCAUUUUUUCUCAGGAACAACGAGUCAGAGCUUUAUGAAAUUUUGUAUUAAGCUUCAUGUCAUCAUGUCUUUCAGAGGGAUUAUUUUCCCAUCUAUUAUGGAUUUCUUGAAGUUUCUAUUCAACAAAUACUUGACACGCGGGCAUCAUUUGUGAGCAAUACCUUAAGGUACAUUUUGGUUGAUGCGAUUUUUAAUUAUGUAUAGUAGAUGAAAAGGGUGUGUAAUACAUAUAGUCAAUGUGGCACCUCAAAUGCUGAGUUGCCGGCUAUUUCACAUCCUAGUACUAAAGAACUCUCUUGAAUAGCAUAAUGUGAUUAUGAACACUAAUAAAAUGGAAAACUUUCAACAAAGAAAACCCCGUUAAAGAAGAAUAUACGUCAAC